AGGUAUUUUUGUUGAAUAGUAUUCAUGAUCGAGAAACUAGCGGCUUUUCUGCUGCUUGCUUUGGGUUGGGAGGGUUUCGAGCACAAUCUAACUCUAACCCACAUAAAUAGGUAAUGAAGCUCAAGGAACAGCUUUCCGAGGCAGAGAAGGAGAUACAGAGGCUACUGGAGAGAUGUGAUGGUGUUUCAAGCAACAGCCCGGCUUCAUUGUUCUCCAUGGAAGCCAUGGAUCCACCUCCUUUUCUAGGGGAGUUUGGGAUGGAAGGGUUUGGAAAUAUUUUUUAUGUGCCAGAAAACAAUUACAAUCAUGGCAUGGAUUGGGUUAAUCUUAUAUGAUAUGUAAUUAAAGCAAUUCUAGUAUUAAUGUAGCUAGUGACCAUCUUAUGUA